CACAUGCAAGUCGAGCGGUAACAGAGAGAAGCUUGCUUCUCUGCUGACGAGCGGCGGACGGGUGAGUAAUGCCUAGGAAUCUGCCUUGUAGUGGGGGAUAACUUGCCGAAAGGUAAGCUAAUACCGCAUACGCCCUAAGGGGGAAAGCAGGGGACUCUUCGGAGCCUUGCGCUAUUAGAUGAGCCUAGGUCGGAUUAGUUAGUUGGUGGGGUAAUGGCUCACCAAGACCGCGAUCCGUAACUGGUCUGAGAGGAUGAUCAGUCACACUGGAACUGAGACACGGCCCAGACUCCUACGGGAGGCAGCAGUAGGGAAUCUUCCACAAUGGGUGCAAACCUGAUGGAGCAAUGCCGCGUGAAUGAAGAAGGUCUUCGGAUCGUAAAGUUCUGUUAUUAGUGAAGAACAAAUCGAGGAGUAACUGUCUCGAUUUUGACGGUAACUAACCAGAAAGUCACGGCUAACUACGUGCCAGCAGCCGCGGUAAUACGUAGGUGACAAGCGUUGU
rnacentral:rRNA from 1 species